rnacentral:rRNA from 1 species
AGAGGCUCAAGUUGACAGCCUUCGGCGUAAAGCGUGGUUAGGGAAUCACAACAACUAAAGCCAAACCCUCUCACAGCUGUUAUACGCACUCGAGAGCAUGAAGCCCAACAACGAAAGUAGCUUUAUUACCCCUGACCCCACGAAAGCUGUGAAACAAACUGGGAUUAGAUACCCCACUAUGCACAGCCCUAAACUUCGAUAAUAUCUUACAAUUAUUAUCCGCCCGGGAACUACGAGCAUUA